AGCGAACGCUGGCGGCAGGCUUAACACAUGCAAGUCGAACGGGCGUAGCAAUACGUCAGUGGCAGACGGGUGAGUAACACGUGGGAACGUACCCUUUGGUUCGGAACAACACAGGGAAACUUGUGCUAAUACCGGAUAAGCCCUUACGGGGAAAGAUUUAUCGCCGAAGGAUCGGCCCGCGUCUGAUUAGCUUGUUGGUGAGGUAAUGGCUCACCAAGGCGACGAUCAGUAGCUGGUCUGAGAGGAUGAUCAGCCACACUGGGACUGAGACACGGCCCAGACUCCUACGGGAGGCAGCAGUGGGGAAUAUUGGACAAUGGCGCAAGCCUGAUCCAGCCAUGCCGCGUGAGUGAUGAAGGCCCUAGGUUGUAAAGCUCUUUGGUCGGGGAAGGAUAAAUGACGGUACCC
rnacentral:rRNA from 1 species